AUUGAACGCUGGCGGCAGGCCUAACACAUGCAAGUCGAGCGGAUGAAGGGAGCUUGCUCCUGGAUUCAGCGGCGGACGGGUGAGUAAUGCCUAGGAAUCUGCCUGGUAGUGGGGGAUAACGUCCGGAAACGGGCGCUAAUACCGCAUACGUCCUGAGGGAGAAAGUGGGGGAUCUUCGGACCUCACGCUAUCAGAUGAGCCUAGGUCGGAUUAGCUAGUUGGUGGGGUAAAGGCCUACCAAGGCGACGAUCCGUAACUGGUCUGAGAGGAUGAUCAGUCACACUGGAACGGAGACACGGUCCAGGCUCCUACGGGAGGCAGCAGUGGGGAAUAUUGGACAAUGGGCGAAAGCCUGAUCCAGCCAUGCCGCGUGUGUGAAGAAGGUCUUCGGAUUGUAAAGCACUUUAAGUUGGGGGGAAGGGCAGUAAGUUAAUACCUUGCUGGUUUGACGUUACCAACAGAAUAAGCACCGGCUAACUUCGUG
rnacentral:rRNA from 1 species